GAAAACAGAUCUUCUUCUCUUCUUCUUCCUCUCUAAGAACUUAGGUUCAGAUCUCAUUUGCAUGGCUCAAUUUCACACCUCCUCCUCCCAACUCAUGCAAAUGGGAUGACAUCCUUUGACAACAAUCCCGUUCAAAGCAUUAAAAAAUACCCUAAAGAAUAAUUUAGGUACACAUGAAAAAUUCAACAAUCACUAUAUGGAAUAUUGAAUCUUGCAAAACUAGCUAUUCAGACGACAUUCCUUUGGUGUUUGGUGUGGUGCACGGUGCACCAAAAUACGGGAAGGACAAAUCACAUGCAGUAAGCGUAAUCACAGCAACAGAAUUCGCUGUUUUUAUGUCAAUGUUCUCACAACCAUUUAUACGAUUGUUUCCACCAAAUUAACAGCUGUUUAACAAAGUAGAAAACACCACAGAGCAUGCGGCCAAGUGAUUCAUUCUCAGCAGUUUGGCCACAAUAAUACGCCGAUGGACCACAAGUCAGGACCAACUUGCAACGUUAGGUGCUUGCGGAUACGAUUGGUUUGGAGGAGGAUUCUAGAAGAAAGGCCCCGGUGAGUUGAUUGCGGAAUGAGAUUUUAGAGUCGGUCCCAGCGGCGGUUCAUAGAUUGUUCGGGUCGGCUAUUGAGUGGAGACUUGAGGUACAGCUGCUCGGCGUCCGCAACCCCUAAAGUCCCCUUUUUCUUUAACUUAGCUGUGUACUUUUCCUCAGACACUUUUAUUUUUAUUCGGACCUUUAUUUGUACUAUUCUAGUAGCUCGUGCACUUGUGAUACCAGAUUCGGGAUUGUAUUAGAUAUUUCAGUUGUUAUGGUUUUUCGCACUUUA